CAGCCGCCGCGGGAAUACCAGCACCUCGAGUGGUCAGGAGGUUUAUUGGGCCUAAAGCAUCCGUAGCCGGUUGCAUAAGUUUUCGGUUAAAUCUAUGCGCUUAACGUAUAGGCCGCCGAAAAUACUGUGCAGCUAGGGAGUGGGAGAGGUACACGGUACUCGAUAGGAAGGGGUAAAAUUCUUUGAUCUAUUGAUGACCACCUGUGGCGAAGGCGGCCAUCUGGGACAACACUGACGCUGAGGCACGAAAGCGUGGGGAGCAAACAGGAUUAGAUACCCCCGUAGUCCCUGUCUCUUAUAC
rnacentral:rRNA from 1 species